rnacentral:rRNA from 1 species
CGGGUGAGGUAACACGUAUGCAACCUGCCUGCCACAGCCGGAUAGUCGGGAGAAAUUCCGUCUAAUACGGCAUAAUGCAUCGAUGGGACAUCCUGUUGGUGCCAAAGGUUAAUUCCGGUGGCGGAUGGGCAUGCGUCGCAUUAGUUAGUUGGCGGUGUAACGGACCACCAAGACGACGAUGCGUAGGGGUUCUGAGAGGAAGGUCCCCCACACUGGUACUGAGACACGGACCAGACUCCUACGGAAGGCAGCAG